rnacentral:tmRNA from 1 species
GGGGAUGCAAGGCAUAGACAGUAGGCCUCUUGUUAUUGAUGCAUACCGAGCAUGGACGUAAUCUCGUAAAAAUUCGUCUAAAUGUUAAUUGCAAAAUUAGCUUCUAAGGUGAAAGCUUCAGUUUCUCCAUACUUCGGUAUGAAUGAAUUCGCUUUCGCUCUAGCUUAACUUAGGUUCGGCUAGUGUCUCUCUUAUAGACUUCCGAUAUAUAAGAUGGGGCAACAUAUUAUCGGGAUAGUUCCCUCGCCUGUUCCGACGAGAGAGCAAAACAAAGGAACUCGAUUAAAAAAUAUUUGGCUCGCUUAAGAAUUUUUUAAUUAAAACCAAAAAGCGUGCUACGUAUGUAGACUUCUUUACAAUAACCUUCUGCACGGGGAUUCAAUUUCCCCCAUCUCCACUA